rnacentral:tRNA from 1 species
AGACAGUUGAGAGAGUGGUUUAAUCUGCUCGCCUGGAACGCGGGUGUGGGGCAACCCACCGGGGGUUCGAAUCCCCCACUGUCUG